rnacentral:lncRNA from 1 species
CCAACAUUUACAUAAUCUUUUACUUUAAGACAGUGCAUUGUCAAAUUGUAGAUUGUGGCCGCACUUCUUACAUCGCGUUCGUAAAUCUUUAAAAGUCUCCAACGACUAUCUAACGUGGCAUAAAGAUAUUGGCUGCUUCAAAAGUAACCGUUGGCGAUUUACAACAGUCACCACCCUUCAUGAAUUUCGCGGUAGCGCCCUUUAGGAUAGCAGUUGUUGUCACGACCCCAUCUGUGGGUCCGUAACCGGCACUAGGGAAUGGGUAGGCGUAAGGCCAUCGGAUCCUGUAGUAAGUCUGGCACUCACCGACUUAGACAAAUCUCAUCUCAUUUAAUACUAUUGAUUCCACAAAUUAUCUUAACAGUCAAAUUUUGACAUAAUUAAUUCAGUCUGCAAGAAAAAUUAGGCUAGACCCGAAACUACAAAGCAUUACAACUGAUACAUCUACUAUUUCAACUGCGGAGAAUCUAAGAUUUUACAAAUUAACAUAACAAAUCAAAUACAUCACCUGAUGAUGAAGGAGUCGGGUUACUAGAUAAGAGUCGCGGGAAGGCUAACAAUCACAGAUCUGAAAAACAGUGAAAUUGAGACUGUCAGUCUCGAGAGUGAGUUAAAAUUAUAUAUUUAAAAAUAAUUAUAAACAUUUCAAUAAUAUAUUUAUUUAAUUUAAAAUAAAUAAUAAGUCAUGUAAAAAUUAAACUUGUCAUGUCAUGCUUGAAUAAAAUAAUUUUCACACACAACGGGACGGAGUACUUCAGUAGAACCUUAAUCCCAACACUAACAUCUCGAUCAACCUCAAUACUGACAUCUCGACUAAUCUCAACUCUAACAUCCCGACUAAUCUCAUUCCAAUAGGACUGGCGCCCAGAGAGCGAAGCUCGACCAGGGUCCUUAACUCCAAUCUGGUCACUUAAUAUUCACUAUCAGCCUAAGCCUUUCGGCUCUCUUAUUCCAAUAAGACUGGCGCCCAGAGAGCGAAGCUCGACCAGGAACCUUACCUCCAGUCUGCUCACUUAGGUAUCCAAAUAAGCCGGCGCCCAGAGAGCAAUGCUCGACCAGGGACCUUUACUCCGGCAACCACACUCUACUAAGCCUAGAGAGCGAUGCUCGACCAGGGCAAAUCCUAAACCUUCCUUUUUAAAUUUACCUAUUUAUCCUUUCUCAUCACUCUCAGAUUUAUAUCGGAACACUCAUCAAACUCUUAUGUUCUACUGUCGUUCCAUCUCGAGUCAACACAAAAUCAAUAAAAAUUGUAAUGCGGAAAAUGAAGCAUGCAUAAACAGUACAUAACCAAUAAGUCAAAAUAUUAAUCAUUAAAUCAGAGAUAUCAUAUAAAAUAUUUGCAUGACACACAUAAGUAAAUAUAUGACUUUAUCUCACAGCUUUGGCGACCUCCUAGCUCUACUCCAGUGCCUCGGUUG